rnacentral:rRNA from 1 species
AGAGUUUGAUCCUGGCUCAGGAUGAACGCUAGCUACAGGCUUAACACAUGCAAGUCGAGGGGCAUCAGUUUGGUUUGCUUGCAAACCAAAGCUGGCGACCGGCGCACGGGUGAGUAACACGUAUCCAACCUGCCUCAUACUCGGGGAUAGCCUUUCGAAAGAAAGAUUAAUAUCCGAUAGCAUAUAUUUCCCGCAUGGGUUUUAUAUUAAAGAAUUCGGUAUGAGAUGGGGAUGCGUUCCAUUAGUUGUUGGCGGGGUAAUGGCCCACCAAGACUACGAUGGAUAGGGGUUCUGAGAGGAAGGUCCCCCANAUUGGAACUGAGACACGGUUCAAACUCCUACGGGAGCA